UCGAGGAUCUUCCGCAAUGGGCGCAAGCCUGACGGAGCGACGCCGCGUGUGGGAUGAAGGCCUUCGGGUUGUAAACCACUGUCACUCGUUAAGAAAGGGCUUAACGUUAACAGCGUUAGGAACUGACUAAGGCGAGAGAGGAAGCCACGGCUAACUUCGUGCCAGCAGCCGCGGUAAGACGAAGGUGGCGAGCGUUGUUCGGAAUCACUGGGCAUAAAGCGCACGUAGGCGGCGACGUAAGUUGGGUGUGAAAUCCCCCGGCCCAACCGGGGAACUGCGCCCAGUACUGCGUUGCUUGAGGAUCAAAGGGGUGCAUGGAAUUCCCGGUGGAGCGGUGAAAUGCGUUGAUAUCGGGAGGAACUCCGGCGGCGAAAGCGGUGCACUGGUUGAUUUCUGACGCUGAGGUGCGAAAGCCAGGGGAGCAAACGGG
rnacentral:rRNA from 1 species